GCUAGGGUGGCAGAGCCUGGAAAUUGCAAAAGGUCUAAGCCCUUUAUAGCGGAGGUUCAAAUCCUCUCCCUAGCU
rnacentral:tRNA from 1 species